AGCAGUUAUGAGCAUUUUUAACUUGUGGACAAAGAUUUAUAGACAGGUGCAAAAAAUAUAUCCUCUUUUGCAAGCCAGAAUUCACUGAUCAGUAGCUUUGAUGCAGACAAGAAGGACUAUU
rnacentral:snoRNA from 1 species